UCGUUUUUGUCCAUUUGGGUCCU
rnacentral:piRNA from 1 species